AGAGUUUGAUCCUGGCUCAGAUUGAACGCUGGCGGUAGGCUUAACACAUGCAAGUCGGGCGGAAACGAAGGUAGCUUGCUAUCAGGCGUCGAGCGGCGGACGGGUGAGUAACGCGUGGGAAUUUGCCUAGUAGUGGGGGAUAGCCCGGAGAAAUCCGGAUUAAUACCGCAUAAUCUCUAAGGCUUCUGCCGCUUUUGGACGGUCCCGCGUCUGAUUAGCUAGUUGGUGAGGUAAUGGCUCACCAAGGCGACGAUCAGUAGCUGGUCUGAGAGGAUGAUCAGCCACACUGGAACUGAGACACGGUCCAGACUCCUACGGGAGGCAGCAGUGGGGAAUAUUGGACAAUGGGGGAAACCCUGAUCCAGCCAUGCCGCGUGAGUGAAGAAGGCCCUAGGGUUGUAAAGCUCUUUCAACGGUGAAGAUGAUGACGGUAGCCGUAGAAGAAGCCCCGGCUAACUCCGUGCCAGCAGCCGCGGUAAUACGGAGGGGGCAAGCGUUGUUCGGAAUUACUGGGCGUAAAGAGCAUGUAGGCGGCAAUGUAAGUUAGAGGUGAAAGGCCUGGGCUCAACCCAGGAACUGCCUUUGAUACUGCAAUGCUAGAGACCGGAAGAGGUAAGCGGAAUUCCCAGUGAAGAGGUGAAAUUCGUAGAUAUUGGGAAGAACACCAGUUGCGUAGGCGGUUGACUGGACCGGUAUUGACUCUCAUUUACGAAAGCGUGUGGAGCAAGCAGGAUUAGAUACCCUGGUAGUCCACGCCGUAAACGAUGUAUGCUAGUUGUUGGAGUCUUUAGGCUUCAGUGACGCAGAGAAAUCAUUAAGCAUACCGCCUGGGGAGUACGGUCGCAAGAUUAAAACUCAAAGGAAUUGACGGGGACCCGCACAAGCGGUGGAGCAUGUUGUUUAAUUCGAAGCAACGCGAAGAACCUUACCCACACUUAACUAUCCUCUUGGGGCUUUCAGAGAUGAUCGCUUUCGGUUCGGCCGGGGAGUGAAUAGGUGCUGCAUGGCUGUCGUCAGCUCGUGUCGUGAGAUGUUAGGUUAAGUCCUGCAACGAGCGCAACCCUUAUCGUAUGUUACCAUCAUUUAGUUGGGGACUCAUGCGAGACUGCCGGUGAUAAGCCGGAGGAAGGCGGGGACGACGUCAAGUCAUCAUGGCCCUUACGUGUGGGGCUACAAACGUGCUACAAUGGUAACGACAAUGGGCAGCCACUUCGCAAGAAGGCGCUAAUCUCCAAACGUUAUCUCAGUUCGGAUUGUUCUCUGCAACUCGAGAGCAUGAAGUUGGAAUCGCUAGUAAUCGUGCAUCAGCAUGUCACGGUGAAUACGUUCCCGGGUCUUGUACACACCGCCCGUAACGUCAUGGGAGUUGGUUCUACCCGAAGGCCGUGCGCUAACUACGGAGGCAGCGGACCACGGUAGGAUCAAUGACUGGGGUGAAGUCGUAACAAGGUAACC
rnacentral:rRNA from 1 species